UCUCGCGAUACUUUGAUGUUAUGCACCUUGUACUUUACAUGUGACGUUUACACCUGAUCGUUUUUUCAAGCGAAAAGCCAUCAUUAACCAAAUCAUCAUUUCAAUGUUUAUGCGGGGACAUACAUGAACAUAAAGAGAAAACAAAGACAUUUUGAGAAGUUGUCUAGAAACUGAACGUUUUGAUCAAAGUAAGUCUUCAGCUGUGGAGCAGCUUAUUCAUAAGAUGACGUCGGAGCAGAAUCUGGAUACAAUGGAAGGUGAACAUAAAUGCUUAGAGGCAAGAGAAAAACAGAGAGAAAAACUAGGUAAAGAAACUUUAGUGCAUAAAUAAGCCUGUGUCAUGAAUCUAUCUAACAAUCUAACAAACAUGAGCUGAACAUAAAA